GAUGAACGCUGGCGGCGUGCCUAAUACAUGCAAGUCGAGCGAACGGACGAGAAGCUUGCUUCUCUGAUGUUAGCGGCGGACGGGUGAGUAACACGUGGAUAACCUACCUAUAAGACUGGGAUAACUUCGGGAAACCGGAGCUAAUACCGGAUAAUAUUUUGAACCGCAUGGUUCAAAAGUGAAAGACGGUCUUGCUGUCACUUAUAGAUGGAUCCGCGCUGCAUUAGCUAGUUGGUAAGGUAACGGCUUACCAAGGCAACGAUGCAUAGCCGACCUGAGAGGGUGAUCGGCCACACUGGAACUGAGACACGGUCCAGACUCCUACGGGAGGCAGCAGGAGGGAAUCUUCCGCAAUGGGCGAAAGCCUGACGGAGCAACGCCGCGUGAGUGAUGAAGGUCUGCGGAUCGUAAAACUCUGUUAUUAGGGAAGAACAUAUGUGUAAGUAACUGUGCACAUCUUGACGGUACCUAAUCAGAAAGCCACGGCUAACUACGU
rnacentral:rRNA from 1 species